rnacentral:tRNA from 1 species
AAAGUUAUAGUCAACUAUGACAUUUGGGUUGCAUUCAAAAAGUACCCUAGAGGGUUAACUUU